AGAGUUUGAUCAUGGCUCAGGAUGAACGCUGGCGGCGUGCCUAAUACAUGCAAGUCGAACGCUUUGUCUUUAAUUGAUCUGACGAGCUUGCUCUGAUGUGAUUUUAUCUGACAAAGAGUGGCGAACGGGUGAGUAACACGUGGGUAACCUACCUCUUAGCAGGGGAUAACACUUGGAAACAAGUGCUAAUACCGUAUAAUACUAACAACCGCAUGGUUGUUAGUUGAAAGAUGGUUCUGCUAUCACUAAGAGAUGGACCCGCGGUGCAUUAGCUAGUUGGUAAGGUAACGGCUUACCAAGGCAAUGAUGCAUAGCCGAGUUGAGAGACUGAUCGGCCACAAUGGGACUGAGACACGGCCCAUACUCCUACGGGAGGCAGCAGUAGGGAAUCUUCCACAAUGGGCGCAAGCCUGAUGGAGCAACGCCGCGUGUGAUGAAGGGUUUCGGCUCGUAAAACACUGUUAUAAGAGAAGAACGGCACUGAGAGUAACUGUUCAGUGUGUGACGGUAUCUUACCAGAAAGGAACGGCUAAAUACGUGCCAGCAGCCGCGGUAAUACGUAUGUUCCAAGCGUUAUCCGGAUUUAUUGGGCGUAAAGCGAGCGCAGAUGGUUAUUUAAGUCUGAAGUGAAAGCCCUCAGCUCAACUGAGGAAUGGCUUUGGAAACUGGAUGACUUGAGUGCAGUAGAGGAAAGUGGAACUCCAUGUGUAGCGGUGAAAUGCGUAGAUAUAUGGAAGAACACCAGUGGCGAAGGCGGCUUUCUGGACUGUAACUGACGUUGAGGCUCGAAAGUGUGGGUAGCAAACAGGAUUAGAUACCCUGGUAGUCCACACCGUAAACGAUGAGUGC
rnacentral:rRNA from 1 species